GGAUUCCCCGAAAGUAUCCGCCAUUGAUGAAUAAAUGCAAAUGAUUUAGCAAAACUAUAAACAGAUCAGAAAGAAUUCGCUACGCUAUAUCUCUUCAUCGAGGAAUAAGCAACUUAAGGUAGGUUAAACAUUAAUCGAAGUUAAAUGUUCAAAGAUCCGAUCGAGUUUUCGCUGACACGGAGUGGUCGCGUGUGUUUAUUUUCAAAAUGACUAAUCUGCUCAAAUGCAGCCUGGAGAAAGAGAUGUCAUGGAUAGAGUUCUGCCAGACAUUGUGGAAGAUGUUAUACCUGGAGACAUGAUGCCAUACUUACCCUGCCUAACCGACGAUGACAAAGAGCAAAUUUUGUGUGAGGAGGAGAACAGGGGGAGCAGAAGAGCAGCUUAUCUACUUGUUGAUAGACUCAAACGGAGAAGGAAUGGCAUGUUUGACUUUAUUAGGGCAUUGAGUAAAACAGGCUGUCACCAUGUUGUAGCUCGUAUUGAUGAGGAAAUCCAAAAACAGAAUUACAGACAACCGCAACCCUGAUAUUUUUUUUUAUUAUUUUACAAAGAAUAAUGAUUUCAAAUCAA